AUUGAACGCUGGCGGCAUGCCUUACACAUGCAAGUCGAACGGCAGCACGGGUGCUUGCACCUGGUGGCGAGUGGCGAACGGGUGAGUAAUACAUCGGAACAUGUCCUGUAGUGGGGGAUAGCCCGGCGAAAGCCGCAUUAAUACCGCAUACGAUCUACGGAUGAAAGCGGGGGACCUUCGGGCCUCGCGCUAUAGGGUUGGCCGAUGGCUGAUUAGCUAGUUGGUGGGGUAAAGGCCUACCAAGGCGACGAUCAGUAGCUGGUCUGAGAGGACGACCAGCCACACUGGGACUGAGACACGGCCCAGACUCCUACGGGAGGCAGCAGUGGGGAAUUUUGGACAAUGGGCGAAAGCCUGAUCCAGCAAUGCCGCGUGUGUGAAGAAGGCCUUCGGGUUGUAAAGCACUUUUGUCCGGAAAGAAAUCCUUGGCCCUAAUACGGUCGGGGGAUGACGGUACCGGAAGAAUAAGCACCGGCUAACUACGUG
rnacentral:rRNA from 1 species